rnacentral:rRNA from 1 species
AGUGAACGCUGGCGGUAGGCCUAACACAUGCAAGUCGAACGGCAGCACAGUAAGAGCUUGCUCUUACGGGUGGCGAGUGGCGGACGGGUGAGGAAUACAUCGGUAUCUACUUUUUCGUGGGGGAUAACGUAGGGAAACUUACGCUAAUACCGCAUACGACCUACGGGUGAAAGCAGGGGAUCUUCGGACCUUGCGCGAUUGAAUGAGCCGAUGUCGGAUUAGCUAGUUGGCGGGGUAAAGGCCCACCAAGGCGACGAUCCGUAGCUGGUCUGAGAGGAUGAUCAGCCACACUGGAACUGAGACACGGUCCAGACUCCUACGGGAGGCAGCAGUGGGGAAUAUUGGACAAUGGGCGCAAGCCUGAUCCAGCCAUACCGCGUGAGUGAAGAAGGCCUUCGGGUUGUAAAGCCCUUUUGUUGGGAAAGAAAAGCAGCAGGUUAAUACCCCGCUGUUCUGACGGUACCCAAAGAAUAAGCACCGGCUAACUUCGUG